CAGAAGACCAGCCUAAUAACGCAGGCAGCGAGAAUUUGAGCCAUGACCUCAGCUCUCCACUUCUGCCCCUAUCUGCCCUGCCAUGGCUGCAGCAGUGUCACGAGGCCAUCCCAAAACCCACCGCUCCUCAACGAGAACCUCUGCCCCUGAGCCCCCUGGUCCUGUUCCCCGGCCAGGACUGAAGCUGAACCUGCUGGUGAAGGUGGUGCAGCUUCCCAAGCCACGUCCAGGACUGAGGCUCUGGGAGAUGCUGAGGGUGUAUCUGCAGGGAGGACUUCUCCAGCUCCUUUGCUGAUUCCUACACAGAAGCCUGGCAACCAUGGCAGGGGUCCUCCACCAGAAGAGAUCAAAGACAUGGCAGACAAGAAAUUCCAGAAUCCAUUAGAAAUUAUGUGGCAAAUGCUGAAGGAAGUGCUGCAGAGAGGACAAG